GGGGAUUUAGCUCAGUGGUAGAGCAUUUGCCUGGCAUGCACAGGCCUGGGUUUAACUCCCAGCACUG
rnacentral:tRNA from 1 species